CGCUUUCGCGACUUAAACAAACACGUAACCAUGAUUCUAAAAACAAUUGUUUUGCUUCUUUUUGUAACUCUUCCUCUUGCUAGUUCGCGUCGUUGUUACUACGCUUGUAACUGUGACGAUUGUGAGUCUAUAACGGAACAAAAGUGCCCAAAUAGUGACGAUAUAUGUUACACUAUAGUUACAUCAGGCGACGUAACAAAAGGGUGUCUCAGUCGUGACUUGACUUCCAGUGUUUCUGACAAAGAAGACAGUUGCUCGAUUUGUGACGGUGAUUAUUGUAACUCUUCCACUAAACAUCUCCUGGCGUUACCAUCACUUGUGAUGGUAACAUUUGCACUAAAAACAUUCUUCUAAGCGAAGAUUUAUGAUUAAAGCCAACGACCACAAACAAAACAACAACUAAUAACCAAUAAAGAGAUUAAAAGUAAUAAAUUGCGAAAAAAGUGA